rnacentral:rRNA from 1 species
AUUGAACGCUGGCGGCAUGCCUUACACAUGCAAGUCGAACGGCAGCACGGGAGCAAUCCUGGUGGCGAGUGGCGAACGGGUGAGUAAUAUAUCGGAACGUGCCCGGUCGUGGGGAUAACGUAGCGAAAGCUACGCUAAUACCGCAUACGAUCUACGGAUGAAAGCGGGGGAUCGCAAGACCUCGCGCGAUUGGGAGCGGCCGAUAUCAGAUUAGGUAGUUGGUGAGGUAAAGGCUCACCAAGCCGACGAUCUGUAGCUGGUCUGAGAGGACGACCAGCCACACUGGGACUGAGACACGGCCCAGACUCCUACGGGAGCAGCAGUGGGAA